AGCAGGAUGCUCUGUGAGGCACUGGGGUAUCCUGGGGGACCCAGUGGUGUCAGUGGGGUGAGGAGAGAGGGCUGCUGAGCUGGAGAAGAGACAGAAGUGCAGGUAGGUUGGUCUGGGUUGCACAGGCAGCCAGUGCUGCAGGAGCAGCAUAGAGAGUAUUGCUGAUGCUGCAGGAGGUGUCUCAGUGGCUGUGAUAGAUACAGGUAGGUGACAGAUAUGGGUAGGGGAUGGAUACAGCCAGGUGAUACAAUCCGAUGCACUUAGGCUCAAAGCCAGCCUCCUCCAGGACAAUGUGCCCCUGCAGCCCUGAGCUCCCACUGAGCUGUGAAGUCACAGGUGCUGCCCACAAUGUGCUGGGUCCAGCUGUGCCCUUGGCCCAGAGCUCUGAGCACGGUGCUGCCUGUCACUGGACAUGAUGGAGCUGUCACACUUGGCAGCCCUGGCCACUAUCCUCAGCCGACUGCUCUCAUCAGACAUCUGCUGCUGCCAUGGAUGUGGAACAUGAUCUGCUCCCUGCCAGCCAUGUGUGCCACGGCCAGGAAAGGGCACUGGGGGAUUUGGCACGGUGCUGAGAUGUCCGGAGCACAGAUAGUGCUGCUCAGAGGAAACUCUUUUUGCUGAGCCCAGCACAAGGCUGCAGUGUCUGGUUACAGGGAAGUCGAGCACCCCCUGCUCGGACUCUGUCACCUCCCCAGAGGGAUGGGACGCAGAGCUCAGGGGUCCUUCCUGCUGGCUGCUUGCACCCGGAGCCACAGGGCUGCUGCAUUCCUUCUAUUUACCCUGCAAAAAUGGGACUGGGAGGGUUAAAACUCCCGAGGAGGGCUCCUGCUUCCCUCCACGUGGGCAGGGGCACAGGGUAGGGCUGAGCAGAGCAGCGUUGGACAGCAGCUUUCAGCACAAUGCAGCAGACUGCACAGCUUCAGCAGGGAGCAGCUCCAGCGGGGAUGCAGGGAUGCUCUGGCCCCCUCCCAAACCUCCUGGAGCAAGCAGAGCCCUCCUGCAAAAGAGGAGGUGGCGACGCCAGAGCAGGACUUCCCAUCAGCACCUUAUAUUUACUGCAAGGUCCUCUGGCUGCGACCUUUAGAAGACGAGGCGGCCUGGCAACCAGCUCUGCAGCAGCGUCCCGGCUGGAGCUGAUGGAGGUCCGGGCACACGGACUGCGGUUGAGUCCUGCCAGGAAAGCCAGAACCACGGCCACAGCGCUGCAGCACACGGUCACAGCCCAAACUCCAGUACGGCCCAGGACUUGGGCACUUUCUGCUGCUCUGUCUGUAGGGAGACACCAAGGCAGGGCUGGAACCCACCACAGGGACACCAGCACUGCUGCAGAACUGUGCUGGGCUGACGUGUAGAAACGUGUGGUUCUUGAAGAUGCUGCCGUGCUGAAACAGGCGGAUCUCACACGUGUACCUGCCACUGUCAUUCACCUGCACAUCCUGCAGCUGGAUGGAGCCAUCCCAGCACGAGACAUCUCCCUGCCACCGCACCCGGCCUUGGAAACGGCCCACGGGGACACUGGAGUUGCUGUAGUAAUAAAAUACCAUCUCCUCCUGUCCGGGCACAGAGCGGCUGGUGAGUGGAGCCCAGCAAGCAGGGCACUGUAGCCUCUCCCCACACACACACACACACACACAGUGCUCACCAUGCACAGAACCCAGCUUGCUCCAUCCUGCACUUGUGCCUCUGGAAAGCUCCACUGAAUGCCACAGCAUGGGGCACACAGCUGGGGAGCUCUCCUUCUGCAGUGCUCCAAGAGCAGCGGGGCUGCCUCCCUCUCCCUCCCAUUGCCCACUUUGGGUUCUGACCCACCUUCUGUUUGCCAGCCCUUGGCACACGCAGCCAGUCCACUUUGGUCACCGUCCAGCCCGUGGCCUCUGGAUCUUGGAAGAGGCAGUGCAGCAGGACAGAGUCCCCAGCGCUAGCAUGGAGCCAGGGCUCUGUGAACACCCAUCCAGCCAAGCUGCUGCUCCUCCCUGCCAGGCACAAGGAUAGCAGGAUGAGGAUGACCGAGCGCAGCCUGCCUGUCCCCAUAGAUGUCUCCUCUCUGGAUGAGCCUAAAGGCGCUGAGCAGUCCGGGAAGCAGUGGGGAGGCCCUGCAGACAAAGCCUCUCCCUGAGCCCUGCUUUCCGCAAUCCGGGGAUGCAAGGCAGUACAUCCUCCUGGGUGCCAGACACCGAGGGCUGCUGCAUUCACUGAACGAGCCGCAUGGAAGUAGAGUGGGGAAGACACCUUUGGAUUCAGUGCUCAGCCCUCUGCGUCUCAGGGCUGAAGGCUGCAGCUCCUGCACCGUGGCUCGUGUGAGUCACGGGCUGGGAGAACCAGUGGCACUCAUCUGCAGCAGGCCAGAGGCAACUCGGCCCCUGUGCAUCAGUCUCGGUUCCUCCUUUCACAACCUGCCCAUCUGGCUUCCUGGCUGCUUGCUCACAGGCUCCUGGCUGAGCUUGGACGUGUCCAACCACAUAACCACCUCUAUGGGUUUCUGGAGAAGUGGAGCAGCACAGAGCAAAGCCAAAACAAACGGGGACACAGCACACAGGGCAGGGCAGAAAACAGCCCCGGGGUUUUCUCAAGAGAAAGCCUCCAUCUUCUGUAAUCUAUAGGGUCAAAAUGGUAAAGAGAGACACCUGCUUGGCUGAAAGGCAGUGCAGAGCAGAGCCAUGGGAAGCAGCACAGCAGGGAAGCACUGCCAACUGCAAGGAACAGAGAGAAGCAUCAACAGAUCCUAACCAGGAGAACAGAGCCCAGCACUGCAUAUGAGGGCCGGGUGAGCUGAUUCAGAGGGAGCUGCUUGGGCAGGGACAUUUUUCCCAGCAUUAGAGCUGCCCUGCUCAGCCCUUCCACAACCACCAAGGGCUGGGCCCUGGCAAGGCACCAAGCACUCGUCUGAUGCCCUGUAAGUAAUGAAUGCAAAAUGCUACAGCUUCCCAAACAGGUUUCUUUUGGGCUUGACCAGCUGUGGAGGCAAACAUGAAGAGUAUGUCAGUCACGGAGACCAAGGAGGCCAGUUGCCUUAAGCGGAGCCAAAAAUCAAUAGCUUGGAAGGCUUACCCUGUGUUUAGAUGUGGUAAAGCUUCUCUACAUCUUCCAAAGCCUUGGAGCCUGGUACAGUAAGUACAGGCCUCCAACAGGAUGCUGUGACAAUUCCAAGCCUAUGCGUGUGCAGGAAGGGAACAAGCAGCUCACAGAUGCCAGAGGAGUUACUGGCACGCUCAACACUCCCAGCCUUGCGUGCCUGCAAGCCUCUGAGUGGUCCUUACAGCAGAAAAGAGGAAGCAAAGGGUCUUAGGCAAAAGCAAGGAUAAAGCCACCAGAAUGAUUUACAGCUUACCCAGUAACGUCAGCACCAGAGCCAGGCACAGCAGCACCUUCAUCUUCUCUCCAGGAGAGCAGCAGAGGUGGCACAUGCAGCACACCAAGUGCUUGCAGCUGCACCCCAAGGCCUGCAGAAGGCUCCAGUCCUUCAGGGAGGAAUGUGAUCUGGAUGUUUGGCUUCUCAAAGUUAGUCCUACCCCAGCUGGGAGCCUACAACUCAGUGAAGCACAGCUGUCACACGUGUCUGAUUUGAGACAGCUCUGAGCCCUGGGAAGGAAGAGUGAAAGAUGGGGGGUAGGGCUCAGCAUGAACAUCUUUGCAUUUCCCCUUAACCAAAGCAUCUUUCCGGUGGUUUGGGGGGUCGACUCCUUACCACCAGAAUUGAGACAUUCACAAAUAGUCACUGCUUAGAAAACAAUGGGGUGUUUUUUCUCCUGUAGAAGUUUGGAUACAGAUCCUAAAAUCAUAUUAUCCUAGAGAUAACCUCCUUGCUUCAGAACACCACGCACAUUGAAAGCUUGUGCUGGAGUCUUUAGGGUCUGAUCAGACAGCGCUGAGUCUGGUCACUGCACUGAUCACUGGCAUAUAGACAUGCCACAGCCCAAAGAAGAACUGACUGUCAUUGGCAGGGAUGUGCUCACACACAGAUCACAGGAGGCAAGCAGUACCAACUACCAGCAGUCAUUUUUCAAUACAGGCAUUUAUUUUCCUGCAGCAGUAAAAGCAACAAGAAAUGAAUCAUAGCUGAAGUCUCAUUAGCUACUCUCAUUUUUCCUCCGCUGUGAAAAUCAGAGGCCCUCUGGAUUAGCUUCAGCAAAGCCUGGAAUAGAUAAAGGAACCAGAGAUACACCGCAAGCAGCAGCCCUAAGAGAGGCGGGGAAUAUCUGACAUUGUGUCUAUGCUGUCAUCUCGUUCCAUCCAACACCACAGAGCAGCAAUCCACAGCUGUAGGGUCUAUUCUAGACUGUAAAGCAGUUCUAAAGGCUUUUCAUCCAGAGCACGGCCUCACUGCCUGAUGCAAAACCACUCUGCUUUUCCCUGCCCUCCCAUCCCAUCAGCAAAAUCCUGACAAUGGCAGCAAACCUUCAGUGACUCUCUCAAAUCUACCUCUCAAAAACCUAAAUCUGUUUGGGGGAUGGGUUUUGUGGAGGUGGAGGGGGGAGCUGUGGUUUGGGUACGUUCUCCUUUGCAUGUCUGCUAUGACAAUCUGCAGUGCAAACUCACGCUUGUGCGUGCAUGACCUAUAAACAGCAAAAUUCACACUCAGCUCCAAAGAUGCGUCGGUGCAGCACAUCUCAGCUCAGCAGGCCAAAGCAUCCUGCUGCCUCACCUUGUUUUAAUUCAGCUGUGCUGUCUGGAGCCCUCAAACACAGCUGGAGCUGCACCUUCUCAGGGCCACCCUCAUCCCAGAGUGAAAACAGGACCUAUAGCUUAUUGAAGGCUCUCAUCAUCACACAGAAGCCUGCACAGCAGAGUACCAGCUUGCAGAACUCCAGAAUCCCCCUUGCUGAGGCUCUGGUCCUUAAUUUACCACCAAGUUCUUCCUGCACUUCUUAACCUACUUCUGAAAACAUUUUCUGGUCCCACCUCGGGAUCCAUCUCUGCAGGGUCUCCUGUCACAGCAUGUGCCAGCAAGUGCUGAAGGCAGCACCCACUCAGCCAGGCUGUUAUAUCUCACAAUGCUGACACACCCAGCCCCUAUCAAAGCCUCCUAGAAUAAUUUUCUUCAAUCCAUAUGGAAAAGGCAAGAAAAAAAAUACGUGGAGACCACAUUGCCUUCACACCUCCCCGCUUUUGCACAUAGGAAUCUUUAUUUCAAGUACUUCUAUGUUUCGGUAAUUUCCAUUUCACAAAGGCAAAAAAAACCCCAAACAUUAAAAUAAGGAUUCAUAGCAAACAUAUAAACACUCACCCAGCAUGGUUUGGGGCAGCUGACUUUUUUGUCUUGCACGUAGAGCUCUUCAGUGACUGAUUUGGAGCCUCUGAAUUAAUCACACUAAAUCUUCCUGAGGUUGUGCAUGCGAGAUGUUUAGAACACAGCAGCUCUUUGUUUCGGGUCUCUUACUUAAGGUUGGGUUUGGUGACCACUCUUUGCUUCUAAGAGGAAGUUGUAAGAGGAAGAUGGAGGGUACUGACAAGUCAGAAGGGACCUGUUAUACAGACAGGCAAGAAGAAUUACAGAUGGAAAGGCAGCUUCAAAAGCCACUCUAGAUAAGAGAUAUGGCCAAGCCCUACAGCUCUUGUUUACAGCUCUCAAGCUCCACAGCAGCCUGAUCCAUUAGUCAUUAUGUAAGAUUUAGCCCUGUUACACUGUUUGCAAAGCAUUCACAGCCAAAAAUUGAACAUUCUGUGGAGAAACAAAAGUUAUUAAUUUCCAUAAAGAAGAGUGAUGCAUUCUAACUGAAAGUGGAACAACAAAGCCACUUCCUCCGAGCUGCAAAUCCCAACAUCCUUUCUCAGGAUCGUUUUUUGUUGGUAGAAACACUGAGCCAUCACAGAGCACCAUCUUUACUGAUGCUACUUUGCUGUAGAUGAGAGGAAAGAAAAUAGUCUGGAGAUACAGAUCUAUAGCUGACUUGCAUUGUAGUCAGAACUCCUACACAGCUCUGAUUUAUGGCCAUCACCAGGUUUCUGAUGGGAGUCUGGGUACACCUGUUCCCAGCAUCACAAUUCCUUUCAGCAAGCAACAAGUUAGGAUGGCAGCUUUAUGAAUCCAAUACAUUUACCAACACAAGGCCAAAUAAAGAUAUCCACAGCUUAGAAUGAAGCAUUGCAAUUUAUUGGUAACAGUGCAAAGUAGACAGUAAACAUAUCCCACAUACAUGGAAGGAGACCAUUCAACCAAUGCCAUAUACCAAAAUAAAGCAGAAAACAGCAGCUCUUCAGCUAUUAGAGAAGAAUUCCACUGCUCCCUGUAAUCCAUUAUUGAACAAGGCUGGCAAGAAGGUGCUCUCAAUCUUACAGGACAGCAAUGACAUGUUUCACUGUUUCCCAGAAAUUAACUGCUUCCCUGAAAGAGACGAGGAACACGAUUGUUCUUCUGAAGACAGAACGUCCCUUUGGACAAGGCUUUGAGUCAGUGGUUGAGGUAGAUGGGGUUGUGUUUCCCCAGACAUAGAGUCCCCAUUCGCAUUUCUGAUUUAUAAAAUAAGCUGUAUAUGAAUUGUGCUUAGUGUAAGUAAAAGAUGAGCCCAGUGAUGCAGUUGUU